GGAUGCGAUCAUACUAGCACUAAAGCACCGGAUCCCAUCAGAACUCUGAAGUUAAGCGUGCUUGGGCGAGAGUAGUACCAGGAUGGGUGACCUCCUGGGAAGUCCUCGUGUUCCAUUCC
rnacentral:rRNA from 1 species